rnacentral:rRNA from 1 species
GAAUGCGUUCCCGGGUCUUGUACACACCGCCCGUCACACCACGGGAGUUGGAGACGCCCGAAGCCGAUUAUCUAACCUUUUGGAAGAAGUCGGCGAAGGUGGAAUCAAUAACUGGGGUGAAGUCGUAACAAGGUAGCCGUAUCGGAAGGUGCGGCUGGAUCACCUCCUUUCUAAGGAGA